rnacentral:misc_RNA from 1 species
UUAACUAUUAUAUAGUACUCAGACUUCAUAUACAAACAGAGUUUAGGUCCUCUGGCAAGCGCUCGCCGGCCGGAGCCAGCAGCCCGAGGGCAGGCCUGCCAAAGCAACAAAGGUGUAAUAAACAAAGGGUGGUAUAGAAGACCCCAGCCCAGAGGGCCAGGGGACUAUAACUUUAAUGAUCCUUCCGCAGGUUCACCUACGGAAA